UUCUAAGGGUUCUUGGCACCGAGGGGAGCCACUGAAGGCCGGACCAAGAAGGCCACCACGCCCCAGGCUCCUCUGGGACUUCAGUGUGUCUGUCUCUCCCCUCCUCAAGGAAAGUUGCUUUGAAAUGAAUCCAUAAUAAAUCAUAUACUUUGAACAACAAUGCCAACCAAUCAGAGCUUCCAGGGACUAAGCCACUACCCAAAGACUAGACAUGGACUGACCUUGGGCUCCAACUGCAUAGACACAGCCUCUCUACAUAGCCCAGGCAGUGCUAAAACUCAAGGCUGGCCUCAAACUCAUAGGGAUCUGGCUUCUUAGCUCAGCUGGUACAGUGCUUGCUGUACAAGUGUGAGGGCCCGAAUUCAAUCCUUAGCAUAAUGUAGAAAUGUGGGUGUGCAGGGGCUGGAGAAAUGGAUCAGCAGUUAGCAGCACUUGCUGCUUUUGCAGAGGACGUGGGUUCAAUUCCCAGCACCAACAUGGUAGUCUAUAAACUUCUGUAAUUCUAGUUCCAGAGGAUCUAAUGUCCUCUUUUGAUCUCUGUGGGCAUCACACAGGCCUGUGGUACACACACACACAUACAUUCAGGCAAAAUACC
ensembl:lncRNA